rnacentral:rRNA from 1 species
GACGAACGCUGGCGGCGUGCUUAACACAUGCAAGUCGAACGGUGAAGGGACCAGCUUGCUGGUUCUGGAUGAGUGGCGAACGGGUGAGUAACACGUGAGUAACCUGCCCCCUUCUUCUGGAUAACCGCAUGAAAGUGUGGCUAAUACGGGAUAUUCUGGGUCUGUCGCAUGGCGGGCCCGGGAAAGAUCUUGCUUCGGUGGGGGAUGGGCUCGCGGCCUAUCAGCUUGUUGGUGGGGUGAUGGCCUACCAAGGCGGUGACGGGUAGCCGGCCUGAGAGGGUGGACGGUCACACUGGGACUGAGACACGGCCCAGACUCCUACGGGAGGCAGCAGUGGGGAAUAUUGCACAAUGGGCGCAAGCCUGAUGCAGCGACGCCGCGUGAGGGAUGGAGGCCUUCGGGUUGUAAACCUCUUUCGCCAGUGAAGCAGGCCUGCUCCUUGUGGGUGGGUUGACGGUAGCUGGAUAAGAAGCGCCGGCUAACUACGUG